rnacentral:rRNA from 1 species
UACGUAGGGUGCGAGCGUUAAUCGGAAUUACUGGGCGUAAAGGGUGCGCAGGCGGUCCUGCAAGUCAGGCGUGAAAUCCCCGGGCUUAACCUGGGAAUGGCACUUGAAACUACGGGACUGGAGUAUGGCAGAGGGAGGUGGAAUUCCACGUGUAGCGGUGAAAUGCGUAGAUAUGUGGAGGAACACCGAUGGCGAAGGCAGCCCCCUGGGUCGACACUGACGCUCAUGCACAAAAGCGUGGGGAGCAAACAGG